rnacentral:tRNA from 1 species
AGGAGUUUUUAAAAUGCGAGAUCUAAAAACAUAUCUCUCCGUGGCACCGGUAGUAAGUGCUUUAUGGUUCGGGU